rnacentral:misc_RNA from 1 species
UGAAAUCAAUGAAAAACGACUAUUUUGAAAAAGUAUUAAAUUAUUAAAAUUUGCAUAUAUUCUUUUAUUUAAUUAUCUAAAUUUUUAUUGUAACGUUCAUUUAUGUGCAAAUUUGUCGUUUUAAAAUUAUUUCUCAAGAAGGGUUUAGUUAUGCCGAAAAGCAACGAAAACAUCGUUAAUAAUGAUGCCGAAAGCUCAAUCAAGGCCGACGAUCAUAUUGAAGAUGAUGUCUUUACAAACGAGAACGAUUUAAGUCGUUUACAAAUUUCAUCUUUAAAUCAACGAAGUCACCACGUUUUUACUUCUGUAGUGUCUUCACACGAAAGGUCGUGUGUUUCAUUACCUAGCCAAAGAUCAUCAGGCCUGAUACUGUCCGAUCAUGUACACUCAGAACUUAUACAGUCAAAUCUAUCAGAUAGUUGUGGAAAUUCAACAUUAGGAAAUUUUGGCGAUGCUUCUUGUAUUGUUGCAUGUGGGAUAAAAAGAAGGCCGUCAUAUACGUCCAAAGCACCUUCAGCUCUUACUCAUCUUCCAAAAGUGAUAAGUGAUAUUGAUAAUAAUUCUGUUCAUAUUAGUCCAAAUGAUUUUCAGACUUCAACAAGUUUUGAAGAUCACCAUUCCCAAUCAACAGAAAAAGUUCUAGAUUCUAUUAAUAUUCGUGCUCAAUCGAGGUAUGAAAUUGAUGAGUACUCAAAUUCUGACACACCUGAUGUAACUUCAUUUGAAAAUACAACUACUAAUCUAACGCAAAGUAAUGCAUGUAAAAAUACUAAAGAUAUGAAAACUAAAGAGUCAUUAAAUCACAGUAAAUGGGAUGCUGCUGUAAAAUUAGAUGUUUUGUCAGUCAGAUGUCGAGAUAAAGUUGGAGAUUUGCACAAGAUGCGAUUUGGAUCUGGGUCAAAAGGAAAGUGUAUUAAGAGUGGAGAAAAAUGGUAUACACCUAUAGAAUUUGAAACAUUUUCUGGAAGAGCAUCAUGUAAAGAUUGGAAACGAAGCAUCAGAUUUCAUGGUCAACACAUUCAAAAGUUAAUAGAUGACCAACAUUUAAUACUGCAUGCUAUUUCUUGUACAUGUGGAAUAUGCUGUGGUGACGAAACACUUACUGGUCCUGUAAAAUUGUUUCAAUCUGUCAAAAGAAAACGUUCUUCAAUUAAUAAUGCAUUGCAACUAUCACCCCUUUCAAAAAGAAAAUCUUUUGCAUAUCAUCGAGAUCGUGGUGGUUCAUACAGUCUAGACAAUGAAGUAUUUUCAUUGUCUCAAGAAGCCGAAACUGGAAUGCCACCAAUGACGCCUUUAACUCCUAUGACACCAUUGACUCCUCACACACCUUUUGGACCAAGUUGCUUAACACCAUUAUCAGUACCUACAACUGUUUUUCGGCCAGGUUCUCCACCUAAAUCAAUAACAUUGCAAAAUCCCAUUAUACAAAGUUUACAAAGUGUACAUAACUUGGCAACAACCAGCAUCGUCACUCCCAAAUCUGAGCCAUCACAAGUGUCUAUGCCACCUCCUUUACCUCACAAAAGUAAUAUGGAUUUAAGCAUUAUGAGUCAACAAAAUUGGCUUCAACUUGAAGAGGUUAUUAACCUUAUUUAUGGCAAGCAAUUUGAUUACUAUGGCUAAUAAGUUAAAGUUAAUGGUUGAGCAAGUGAAAGUCCAGUCUGAAGCAUUUAAAGAUAACGCUGUAACUCAAGCAAAGAUACAAGCUGAAAACGAAAAGGCUGAGAUCUGCCAAAAUUGUAGUCGUGAUGCUUUUUUGGAAUGUACAGGAUGCUACCGUGUUUAUUACUGUGGCGCUUUUUGUCAGCAAAAAGACUGGCUGGCUCAUAAACCUAAGUGCAGAAUUGAAUCAGAUG